rnacentral:rRNA from 2 species
GACGAACCGUCCGAACGUUAUUCGGAAUUACUGGGCUUAAAGGGUGCGUAGGCGGCGCGGAAAGUCGGGUGUGAAAUCCCUCGGCUCAACCGAGGAAUGGCGCUCGAAACUACCGUGCUCGAGGAAGGCAGAGGUGAGCGGAACUCAGGGUGGAGCGGUGAAAUGCGUUGAUAUCCUGAGGAACACCGGUGGCGAAAGCGGCUCACUGGGCCUUUUCUGACGCUGAUGCACGAAAGCUAGGGGAGCAAACGGG